rnacentral:rRNA from 1 species
CGCCUGGGGGCGCGCCCCGGGCGGGGCGGGGGCACGGGGGGAACGCGAAGAACCUUACCUGGUCUUGACAUCCACGGAAGUUUUCAGAGAUGAGAAUGUGCCUUCGGGAACCGUGAGACAGGUGCUGCAUGGCUGUCGUCAGCUCGUGUUGUGAAAUGUUGGGUUAAGUCCCGCAACGAGCGCAACCCUUAUCCUUUGUUGCCAGCGGUCCGGCCGGGAACUCAAAGGAGACUGCCAGUGAUAAACUGGAGGAAGGUGGGGAUGACGUCAAGUCAUCAUGGCCCUUACGACCAGGGCUACACACGUGCUACAAUGGCGCAUACAAAGAGAAGCGACCUCGCGAGAGCAAGCGGACCUCAUAAAGUGCGUCGUAGUCCGGAUUGGAGUCUGCAACUCGACUCCAUGAAGUCGGAAUCGCUAGUAAUCGUGGAUCAGAAUGCCACGGUGAAUACGUUCCCGGGCCUUGUACACACCGCCCGUCACACCAUGGGAGUGGGUUGCAAAAGAAGUAGGUAGCUUAACCUUCGGGAGGGCGCUAC